rnacentral:ncRNA from 1 species
UGAACAACCUUGAAAAGGAGUAGUAGUGAACGAAACGUAUGCAUAGAGAGCUGGCGGUCGGUGCAAGUCAGUAAGCGAACGUUCAUGAACUCGCCUUUGAGUUGCAAAUGUGAAUCAACAGUAACAUUUGCCGUUUCCAUCCGCGUUAAGGAUUUGAGUGAGUACAUAUGUUGUACUAAUGUGGGUGGUACCGCGGGAAGAUAAACAAUCCUCUCGUCCCUUUU